rnacentral:snRNA from 1 species
UUAUUUACCUGGCAGCAGAGAUACCAUGAUCACAAAGAUGGUUUUCCAGGACGAGGCUUAUCUAUUGUACAAAAUAUAGAAGGGCUACCCAGAAAUGCACUAGAAUUAGAGUAUAUGAAAAUUCUGAUUGUAUCGACUAAGAUUUGGGGAUCAUUGUUACUGCAUUAUAGCCUA